AUACUUAGCUGGCAGGGGAGAUACCAUGAUCACAAAGAUGGUUUUCCAUCAUACUCCGGAUAUGCUAACCCCUGCGAUUUCCCCAAAUGCAGGAAGCUCGACCGCAUAAUGUGUGGUAGUGGGGACUGCAUUCGAGCUCUCCCCUA
rnacentral:snRNA from 1 species